ensembl:lncRNA
AUGAUGAAGGUUAUUGUGGGUUUGAGUCAAAAACAGGCAUUAAUCAAAAAAGCAGAAUAUCCAGUUCUCUCAUAUCCGUGUGUGUGUGCAUCUGCAUGUGUGUAUGUAGUGUGUGUGUAUGUGUGUGUGCGUGCGUGUGUGUGUGUGUGUGUGUGUGCGUGUGCGUGCGUGUGUGUGUGCAUAUGUGUCUGUUUUUGUGUAACUCUAUUGUGUGCAUGUGUAACUGUCCAAUCCAACAUGUUACUCAACAGAGCCCACAGGUUGUUACUCAACAGAGUCCACAGGUUGUUACUCAACAGAGUCCACAGGUUGUUACUCAACAGAGCCCACAGGUUGUUACUCAACAGAGUCCACAGGUUGUUACUCAACAGAGUCCAUAGGUUGUUACUCAACAGAGUCCACAGGUUACUCAACAGAGUCCACAGGUUGUUACUCAACAGAGCCCACAGGUUGUUACUCAACAGAGUCCACAGGUUGUUACUCAACAGAGUCCACAGGUUAUUCAACAGAGUCCAUAGGUUGGUACUCAACAGAGCCCACAGGUUGUUACUCAACAGAACCCACAGGUUGUUACUCAACAGAGUCCACAGGUUAUUCAACAGAGUCCACAGGUUGUUACUCAACAGAGUCCACAGGUUAUUCAACAUAGUCCACAGGUUGGUACUCACCAGAGCCCACAGGUUGUUACUCAACAGAGCCCACAGGUUGUUACUCAACAGAGUCCACAGGUUGUUAUUCAACAGAGUCCACAGGUUAUUCAACAGAGUCCACAGGUUGUUACUCAACAGAGCCCACAGGUUGUUACUCAACAGAGUCCACAGGUUGUUACUCAACAGAGUCCAUAGGUUGUUACUCAACAAAGUCCACAGGUUGUUACUCAACAGAGCCCACAGGUUGUUACUCAACAGAGUCCACAGGUUGUUACUCAACAGAGCCCACAGGUUGUUACUCAACAGAGCCCACAGGUUGUUACUCAACAGAGUCCACAGGUUUUUCAACAGAGUCCACAGGUUGUUACUCAACAGAGUCCACAGGUUAUUCAACAGAGUCCAUAGGUUGGUACUCAACAGAGCCCACAGGUUGUUACUCAACAGAACCCACAGGUUGUUACUCAACAGAGUCCACAGGUUAUUCAACAGAGUCCACAGGUUGUUACUCAACAGAGUCCACAGGUUAUUCAACAGAGCCCACAGGUUGUUACUCAACAGAGUCCACAGGUUGUUACUCAACAGAGUCCACAGGUUAUUCAACAUAGUCCACAGGUUGGUACUCAACAGAGCCCACAGGUUGUUACUCAACAGAGCCCACAGGUUGUUACUCAACAGAGUCCACAGGUUGUUAUUCAACAGAGUCCACAGGUUAUUCAACAGAGUCCACAGGUUGUUACUCAACAGAGUCCACAGGUUAUUCAACAGAGUCCACGGGUUACUCAACAGAGUCCACAGGUUACUCAACAGAGUCCACAGGUUAUUAAACAGAGUCCACAGGUUGUUACUCAACAGAGUCCACAGGUUGGUACUCAACAGAGUCCACAGGUUGUUACUCAACAGAGUCCACAGGUUGGUACUCAACAGAGUCCACAGGUUGUUACUCAACAGAGUCCACAGGUUAUUCAACAGAGCCCACAGGUUGUUACUCAACAGAGUCCACAGGUUGUUACUCAACAGAGUCCACAGGUUGUUACUCAACAGAGUCCACAGGUUGGUACUCAACAGAGUCCACAGGUUAUUCAACAGAGCCCACAGGUUGUUACUCAAC